GACGAACCGUGCGAACGUUAUUCGGAAUCACUGGGCUUAAAGGGCGCGUAGGCGGGCUCGCAGGUCAGGGGUGAAAGCCCACGGCUCAACCGUGGAAGUGCCUUUGAUACCGUGAGUCUCGAGGGAGGUAGGGGCGUGCGGAACUGCCGGUGGAGCGGUGAAAUGCGUAGAUAUCGGAAGGAACAUCGGUGGCGAAAGCGGCGCGCUGGCCCUCUUCUGACGCUGAGGCGCGAAAGCUAGGGGAGCAAACAGG
rnacentral:rRNA from 1 species